AAGAACAAAAAAUAAAGCAUCAG
rnacentral:piRNA from 1 species